GACGAACCGUGCGAACGUUGUUCGGAAUCACUGGGCUUAAAGGGCGCGUAGGCGGUCCGCCAAGUCAGGGGUGAAAUCCUGCAGCUUAACUGUAGAAGUGCCUCUGAUACUGGCGGUCUUGAGGGAAAUAGGGGUGUGCGGAACUUCCAGUGGAGCGGUGAAAUGCGUUGAUAUUGGAAGGAACGCCGGAGGCGAAAGCGGCGCACUGGAUUUCUUCUGACGCUGAGGCGCGAAAGCUAGGGGAGCAAACGGGG
rnacentral:rRNA from 1 species